CGAACGGGUGAGUAACACGUGGGCAAUCUGCCCUUCACUCUGGGACAAGCCCUGGAAACGGGGUCUAAUACCGGAUAACACUCCUGCCUGCAUGGGUGGGGGUUGAAAGCUCCGGCGGUGAAGGAUGAGCCCGCGGCCUAUCAGCUUGUUGGUGGGGUAAUGGCCUACCAAGGCGACGACGGGUAGCCGGCCUGAGAGGGCGACCGGCCACACUGGGACUGAGACACGGCCCAGACUCCUACGGGAGGCAGCAGUGGGGAAUAUUGCACAAUGGGCGAAAGCCUGAUGCAGCGACGCCGCGUGAGGGAUGACGGCCUUCGGGUUGUAAACCUCUUUCAGCAGGGAAGAAGCGCAAGUGACGGUACCUGCAGAAGAAGCGCCGGCUAACUACGUGCCAGCAGCCGCGGUAAUACGUAGGGCGCAAGCGUUGUCCGGAAUUAUUGGGCGUAAAGAGCUCGUAGGCGGCUUGUCACGUCGGAUGUGAAAGCCCGGGGCUUAACCCCGGGUCUGCAUUCGAUACGGGCUAGCUAGAGUGUGGUAGGGGAGAUCGGAAUUCCUGGUGUAGCGGUGAAAUGCGCAGAUAUCAGGAGGAACACCGGUGGCGAAGGCGGAUCUCUGGGCCAUUACUGACGCUGAGGAGCGAAAGCGUGGGGAGCGAACAGGAUUAGAUACCCUGGUAGUCCACGCCGUAAACGUUGGGAACUAGGUGUUGGCGACAUUCCACGUCGUCGGUGCCGCAGCUAACGCAUU
rnacentral:rRNA from 1 species